rnacentral:rRNA from 1 species
UACGUAGGGUGCAGGCGUUAAUCGGAAUUACUGGGCGUAAAGCGUGCGCAGGCGGUUUGCUAAGACAGGUGUGAAAUCCCCGGGCUUAACCUGGGAACUGCGCUUGUUACUGGCAGGCUUGAGUGUGGCAGAGGGGGGGUGGAAUUCCACGUGUAGCAGGUGAAAUGCGUAGAGAAUGUGGAGGAACACCGAUGGCGAAGGAGCAGCCCCCUGGGCUAACCACUGCGCUCAUGCACGAAAGCGUGGGGAGCAAACAGG